rnacentral:rRNA from 1 species
CUACGUGCCAGCAGCCGCGGUAAUACGUAGGGCGCGAGCGUUGUCCGGAAUUAUUGGGCGUAAAGAGCUUGUAGGCGGUUUGUCGCGUCUGCUGUGAAAGGCCGGGGCUUAACCCCGUGUAUUGCAGUGGGUACGGGCAGACUAGAGUGCAGUAGGGGAGACUGGAAUUCCUGGUGUAGCGGUGGAAUGCGCAGAUAUCAGGAGGAACACCGAUGGCGAAGGCAGGUCUCUGGGCUGUAACUGACGCUGAGAAGCGAAAGCAUGGGGAGCGAACAGGAUUAGAUACCCUGGUAGUCCAUGCCGUAAACGUUGGGCACUAGGUGUGGGGGACAUUCCACGUUUUCCGCGCCGUAGCUAACGCAUUAAGUGCCCCGCCUGGGGAGUACGGCCGCAAGGCUAAAACUCAAAGAAAUUGACGGGGGCCCGCACAAGCGGUGGAGCAUGUGGUUUAAUUCGAAGCAACGCGAAGAACCUUACCAGGUCUUGACGUCCCUCUGACCGCUCUAGAGAUAGAGUUUUC